rnacentral:rRNA from 1 species
UACAGAGGGUGCGAGCGUUGUCCGGAAUCACUGGGCGUAAAGGGCGCGUAGGGGGUGGCUUAAGCGUGCGGUGAAAGCUCGGGGCUCAACUCCGAGUCGGCCGUGCGAACUGGGCUCACUGGAGCAUAGUAGAGGCAGGUGGAAUUCCGGGUGUAGCGGUGGAAUGCGUAGAGAUCCGGAAGAACACCGGUGGCGAAGGCGGCCUGCUGGGCUAUGGCUGACACUGAGGCGCGACAGCGUGGGGAGCAAACAGG